rnacentral:lncRNA from 1 species
CCCUGCAUGUAUAUGUGACGUAGAUCCAGAAGCACCGGAAGAAGAUUACUGGGAAUUUUCAGAAGGAUCCUUGGAAUCCGACGAAGUGUUUGAAUUUGUUCCCUGUGAAGCAAAUCCGUCGGCUUCUACUAAUCUUUUUAGCGAUCAAGGCAAGCCCCGGUGCAUUUAUACCUGUCUAUUUUGGAGUCGUUAUUUUAUGUGACUAGUCAUAGGUUAUUUGCUUAUUGUAUGCACUAAGUCUAGGAGUUGAUUGAAACCUAUUCUUGUGUAUGAUCAUGCCUUGAUUUAAGGACAUCUUUGCCACUUGUUCAAAUCCUAGAAACUACCCAAGUCUAGAAUUGCUUACUUGCUUACAUGAUUGGUUUACCAACCUUAAGGAAAACUCUUAAGUCAUACAUGUUGCUUAUGAAGGAUAGUCCGGAAUAUGAAAAUGGACAGAAGCUAGAGAUGUAGUUCUGUCUGCUAGAUUAAUCUGGUUAAGGCCCGAUUCGUGUCUUAACUGUUGAUCAAGUGAUAAACAUCUGAUCACUUACUGGGUAUGGGACCAGUAAAGCCCAGUAGGUUAGUAAAUUCUAUGAUCAGGAAUGCUUCGUACCCGCGCUUGACGUGCUGGAGAUUGGCAGGGGUGUAGCCUGAAACUCACAUGGAGAUCAGGCCAGACGUGGGGUCCCAUGUGGGGGUGCAUCCCUGGGUCCGGGUAGUUGUAUUCCUAAUCAUUGACUUUGCUAAUCGAGAGGUUGUUAGUACGACCUGGACAGUCGUAUAAUGCUGGUGAUCGGGGUACUCUCCUGCAGGAUGUAAUUAGAUCCGGAUCGCCGCAAUUCUCGGUUGUGAAUGCACUUGAU